rnacentral:rRNA from 1 species
UAAUACAGAGGGUGCGAGCGUUAAUCGGAAUCACUGGGCGUAAAGGGUGCGUAGGUGGUCAAAUAAGUCAGAUGUGAAAUCCCUGGGCUCAACCUAGGCAUUGCAUUUGGUACUGUUUGGCUAGAGUGCAGUAGAGGAAUGUGGAAUUUCCGGUGUAGCGGUGAAAUGCGUAGAUAUCGGAAGGAACAUCAGUGGCGAAGGCGACAUUCUGGACUGUAACUGACACUGAGGCACGAAAGCGUGGGGAGCGAACAGGAUUAGAUACCCUGGUAGUCCACGCCGUAAACUAUGAGAACUGGAUGUUUGGGGGCUUAGUCUCCUAAGUAUCGAAGCUAACGCGUUAAGUUCUCCGCCUGGGGAGUACGGCCGCAAGGUUA